CUUUGCUGGCUCUUGAUAACUCAAUAACCUGACCCAGCUUUUCUUCACACUGCACACUACCCAACCCCCUUCUUGUGUCCAUUUCUAGGGAACCACCCCUCGACACAUGCACACGCACACACGCACACACCCCAUUAAGCUCCUUCUUUCCUGAUGUUCUGGCUUUCUACAUUGAUGGAGGGAAAAUGAUGCAGUUUUAACUAAACUGGGCACAUGGUAUUCCAGAAGACACUCACCCCGAAUUCAUCUCAGCCACAUGUUUCACUAAAAUCAGAAGCCUCCUCAUUUGUGGGGCGGCCACAGUCCCUGCUGACACAGGACCUGGGAUGGAGCCAAAAGGGUCAGAGACACGGAGAUGGAGGAGGGAUUUGUCUCUGGCUGCCCAACGUCAGGGCUUGGACUGGAAUCUGGGAGCCCCAACCCUACCCCUGCUUGUUUCUGGAAUAUGUAGAACUUGGAUAUUUAUAGAUGCCUGGAAACAGGAGAGAGACCCAGAACUAACAAAGGCUUCUGACAGAGCAGCUGGCCCGGCGCCUUGCUCAGAGGUGUGCACAGGCAGACAAAAACUUCCGGGCCUCAUGUUCUGCCUUUGGGCACGUGCUGAGUCUUCCCUAAUCGGAUGUUGCAGAGGAAGGCUAAUUAUUUCCUGA
rnacentral:lncRNA from 12 species